rnacentral:lncRNA from 1 species
GUCCAUUGAAGACAGUGGGGUGCUAAAGUCUCCCACUAUUAUUGUGUGAGGUACAAUGUGUGCUUAGAGAUAUAGCAAAGUUUCUUUAAUGAAUGUAGAUGCCCUUGCAUUUGGAACAUAGAUGUUCAGAAUUGAGAGUUCAUCUUGGAAGAUUUUACCUUUGAUGAAUCCCUCUGAUAUUUAUCUUUGGUGGUGUGCUCAUCAUCUGCCUGAUGCAACAAUACCUGGCGUAUAAGUCUUCUAAGAACGUCGUUAAAGUCUUCUGCCAUCAAGCCAAUGAUGUACAUAUAUACCAGACCCAGGUCGUCAUGACAAACACACUGGAAACCUCAAGUGGAAAAAGCCACCCACUGGGUCGUUCAGGAGAGAUCCAGUCUUUAAAGAAGCAAAACUAGAGACCAAAAUAAGUCCUCUUCCUUCUAGAUGUGCAUCAUCUGCUUCUUCCUUCCCUAGAAGACUGAGGGAGCUAUCUUUCACAGAGUGUAUUCAGUGGUAUACGUGGAGCUCAGAAGUAGACACUUGCCUUGCCUCUAUUAGGACUUGAUUGAACCCAAAUACCACAAAAUUCUUUCUCUCUGCUGAGAAAAUGGAAAUUUAAGAUGGGAACCAAGCACUGUGUGGUCAACAUCCAUGAGCAUGGUUUAAUAUACAUACCAUGUGCUUGUUUUUCUGCUUGUGAACUUGUGAGAUAGAAAAACUCCCAAGUCAUCCACUUUUACUUGUUAUCAUUCAGUCACAUAAUAAAUUUCGAUUGUGCACUUGA